rnacentral:rRNA from 1 species
UUAAGUUAUUAAGGGCGCACGGUGGAUGCCUUGGCACUAGAAGCCGAUGAAGGACGUUACUAACGACGAUAUGCUUUGGGGAGCUGUAAGUAAGCUUUGAUCCAGAGAUUUCCGAAUGGGGAAACCCAGCAUGAGUUAUGUCAUGUUAUCGAUAUGUGAAUACAUAGCAUAUCAGAAGGCACACCCGGAGAACUGAAACAUCUUAGUACCCGGAGGAAGAGAAAGAAAAUUCGAUUCCCUUAGUAGCGGCGAGCGAAACGGGAAGAGCCCAAACCAACAAGCUUGCUUGUUGGGGUUGUAGGACACUCUGUACGGAGUUACAAAGGACGACAUUAGACGAAUCAUCUGGAAAGAUGAAUCAAAGAAGGUAAUAAUCCUGUAGUCGAAAAUGUUGUCUCUCUUGAGUGGAUCCUGAGUACGACGGAGCACGUGAAAUUCCGUCGGAAUCUGGGAGGACCAUCUCCUAAGGCUAAAUACUCUCUAGUGACCGAUAGUGAACCAGUACCGUGAGGGAAAGGUGAAAAGCACCCCGGAAGGGGAGUGAAAUAGAACCUGAAACCGUGUGCUUACAAGUAGUCAGAGCCCGUUAAUGGGUGAUGGCGUGCCUUUUGAAGAAUGAACCGGCGAGUUACGAUUUGAUGCAAGGUUAAGCAGUAAAUGUGGAGCCGUAGCGAAAGCGAGUCUGAAUAGGGCGUUUAGUAUUUGGUCGUAGACCCGAAACCAGGUGAUCUACCCUUGGUCAGGUUGAAGUUCAGGUAACACUGAAUGGAGGAUCGAACCGACUUACGUUGAAAAGUGAGCGGAUGAACUGAGGGUAGCGGAGAAAUUCCAAUCGAACCUGGAGAUAGCUGGUUCUCUCCGAAAUAGCUUUAGGGCUAGCCUCAAGUGAUGAUUAUUGGAGGUAGAGCACUGUUUGGACGAGGGGCCCCUCUCGGGUUACCGAAUUCAGACAAACUCCGAAUGCCAAUUAAUUUAACUUGGGAGUCAGAACAUGGGUGAUAAGGUCCGUGUUCGAAAGGGAAACAGCCCAGACCACCAGCUAAGGUCCCAAAAUAUAUGUUAAGUGGAAAAGGAUGUGGCGUUGCCCAGACAACUAGGAUGUUGGCUUAGAAGCAGCCAUCAUUUAAAGAGUGCGUAAUAGCUCACUAGUCGAGUGACACUGCGCCGAAAAUGUACCGGGGCUAAACAUAUUACCGAAGCUGUGGAUUGUCCUUUGGACAAUGGUAGGAGAGCGUUCUAAGGGCGUUGAAGCAUGAUCGUAAGGACAUGUGGAGCGCUUAGAAGUGAGAAUGCCGGUGUGAGUAGCGAAAGACGGGUGAGAAUCCCGUCCACCGAUUGACUAAGGUUUCCAGAGGAAGGCUCGUCCGCUCUGGGUUAGUCGGGUCCUAAGCUGAGGCCGACAGGCGUAGGCGAUGGAUAACAGGUUGAUAUUCCUGUACCACCUAUAAUCGUUUUAAUCGAUGGGGGGACGCAGUAGGAUAGGCGAAGCGUGCGAUUGGAUUGCACGUCUAAGCAGUAAGGCUGAGUAUUAGGCAAAUCCGGUACUCGUUAAGGCUGAGCUGUGAUGGGGAGAAGACAUUGUGUCUUCGAGUCGUUGAUUUCACACUGCCGAGAAAAGCCUCUAGAUAGAAAAUAGGUGCCCGUACCGCAAACCGACACAGGUAGUCAAGAUGAGAAUUCUAAGGUGAGCGAGCGAACUCUCGUUAAGGAACUCGGCAAAAUGACCCCGUAACUUCGGGAGAAGGGGUGCUCUUUAGGGUUAACGCCCAGAAGAGCCGCAGUGAAUAGGCCCAAGCGACUGUUUAUCAAAAACACAGGUCUCUGCUAAACCGUAAGGUGAUGUAUAGGGGCUGACGCCUGCCCGGUGCUGGAAGGUUAAGAGGAGUGGUUAGCUUCUGCGAAGCUACGAAUCGAAGCCCCAGUAAACGGCGGCCGUAACUAUAACGGUCCUAAGGUAGCGAAAUUCCUUGUCGGGUAAGUUCCGACCCGCACGAAAGGCGUAACGAUUUGGGCACUGUCUCAACGAGAGACUCGGUGAAAUCAUAGUACCUGUGAAGAUGCAGGUUACCCGCGACAGGACGGAAAGACCCCGUGGAGCUUUACUGUAGCCUGAUAUUGAAAUUCGGCACAGCUUGUACAGGAUAGGUAGGAGCCUUUGAAACGUGAGCGCUAGCUUACGUGGAGGCGCUGGUGGGAUACUACCCUAGCUGUGUUGGCUUUCUAACCCGCACCACUUAUCGUGGUGGGAGACAGUGUCAGGCGGGCAGUUUGACUGGGGCGGUCGCCUCCUAAAAGGUAACGGAGGCGCUCAAAGGUUCCCUCAGAAUGGUUGGAAAUCAUUCAUAGAGUGUAAAGGCAUAAGGGAGCUUGACUGCGAGACCUACAAGUCGAGCAGGGUCGAAAGACGGACUUAGUGAUCCGGUGGUUCCGCAUGGAAGGGCCAUCGCUCAACGGAUAAAAGCUACCCCGGGGAUAACAGGCUUAUCUCCCCCAAGAGUUCACAUCGACGGGGAGGUUUGGCACCUCGAUGUCGGCUCAUCGCAUCCUGGGGCUGUAGUCGGUCCCAAGGGUUGGGCUGUUCGCCCAUUAAAGCGGUACGCGAGCUGGGUUCAGAACGUCGUGAGACAGUUCGGUCCCUAUCCGUCGUGGGCGUAGGAAAUUUGAGAGGAGCUGUCCUUAGUACGAGAGGACCGGGAUGGACAUACCUCUGGUGUACCAGUUGUCGUGCCAACGGCAUAGCUGGGUAGCUAUGUGUGGACGGGAUAAGUGCUGAAAGCAUCUAAGCAUGAAGCCCCCCUCAAGAUGAGAUUUCCCAACUUCGGUUAUAAGAUCCCUCAAAGAUGAUGAGGUUAAUAGGUUCGAGGUGGAAGCAUGGUGACAUGUGGAGCUGACGAAUACUAAUCGAUCGAAGACUUAAUCAA